rnacentral:rRNA from 1 species
CAGUCGCCGCGGGAAUACGUAGGGUGCAAGCGUUAAUCGGAAUUACUGGGCGUAAAGCGCACGCAGGCGGUCUGUCAAGUCAGAUGUGAAAUCCCCGGGCUUAACCUGGGAACUGCAUUUGAAACUGGCAGGCUAGAGUCUUGUAGAGGGGGGUAGAAUUCCAGGUGUAGCGGUGAAAUGCGUAGAGAUCUGGAGGAAUACCGGUGGCGAAGGCGGCCCCCUGGACAAAGACUGACGCUCAGGUGCGAAAGCGUGGGGAGCAAACAGGAUUAGAUACCCCGGUAGUCCCUGUCUCUUAUAC